CUGCUUCUCAGCAGACAUGAACACCAGGCUGUGAGACCAAGGCCAGAUCCCCAUGCAGCCCUUAGCCCUAGAGCAACACUUUCCUGUGUGACUGAAAUUCAAUUCCAUCCACCACUCCACGGGGCUGGAGACCCAGUUACUGGCACCACUCUGUGGUGCAAGAUGGGCUCUUGAACGUCUCCGCUGUGAAGCAAAAUUAGAGAUGUGAUCAAGACAAGGACAUUUCUGACAAAGAGAAGAGGGUGUGCAGUCUCAGUGAAGAGGGAGGGUGUUCUUGCAGAACUAAGGACAGCCAAGAUACCAAAGCCUUAUUAUGUAUCUUUCAAACUAGAUCUCAGUUUUUCUCUGCCCAGCAUCAGAGUGAGAGGCUUCCUGGUUCUUCUCCCUUCCACUCCUGAUGAAGCCCUAAAUGUCCAGUACCUUCAUCCCUGA
rnacentral:lncRNA from 1 species